UACGUAGGCAGCGAGCGUUGUUCGGAAUUACUGGGCGUAAAGAGUGUGUAGGCGGUGCUCUAAGUUCGGUGUGAAAUCUCCCGCUUAACUGGGAGGGUGCGCCGGAAACUGGAGUGCUCGAGCGUGGGAGAGGAAAGCGGAAUUCCUGGUGUAGCGGUGAAAUGCGUAGAUAUCAGGAGGAACACCUGCGGUGUAGACGGCUUUCUGGACCAUUGCUGACGCUGAGACACGAAAAGCGUGGGGUAGCAA
rnacentral:rRNA from 1 species